rnacentral:sRNA from 1 species
UGGCUCUGCUGUACCUUCUAAACCUUCAGAGAGCCGGAUCUCCUUACAAACCUUUUAAGUAAUAUACCUGCAGGUUUAAAUUUGUUGUUUGUCCCGGUAGAUCCAUAAAGCUCAAUGGUUAGGUUUAAAGUAGCAGGAGUGUCCAACCUUUUGAUAUCUGAAACAUGACAUCACCCACAAAGUUCACACGCCCGAGGACCAUGCAAUCAAGUUACCAAAAGUAAAAGAAUUAAUCCCACAAUAUUCUAUGUAAGUCUAUAACUUUGUAACGGAAUCAGUCCCACAAUGUUCUAUGCAGGUUUAUAACUCUGUAACGGAAUCAGUCCCACAAUGUUCUAUGUAAGUUUAUAACUCUGUAACGGAAUUAGUCCCACAAUGUUCUAUGUAAGUUUAUAACUCUGUAACGGAAUCAGUCCCACAAUGUUCUAUGCAGGUUUAUAACUCUGUAACGGAAUCAGUCCCACAAUGUUCUAUGUAAGUUUAUAACUCUGUAACGGAAUUAGUCCCACAAUGUUCUAUGUAAGUUUAUAACUCUGUAACGGAAUCAGUCCCACAAUGUUCUAUGCAGGUUUACAAUUUUGCAGAGGCUGCAUUCACAGCUGUCCCCUGUGCGCUGCAGGCUGAAUGUGCCUGAAACAUCUCAGUUAAGCACAAGGAGAGCAAGACUUGAUCCUUUCUGCUACUCUGUCCAUUUCCCCAUCCCCCCAGCAAUGCUCAGCCACUACCUCACGAGCAGCUACGCUGAAACCCAGUUCCUCUCAGGCUGCUACAGGCUAGGUUGGGAGCAGACACAGAAACAUCUGAUGGUGAUGGCUGAGCCUGGAUGUUGAAGGCCCACAGUUUAAAAAAGGGGAAGCUAGGCUGUGCCUCCCCGCCAACAGGAAAAGGGGUGAAGUUGUUUUUAGGUGUUACUGGGUUUCUCGUUUGGUUUUUUAAGUCUUGUGAAGAGUCCUGUAUGAUGGCUGAUCUCAAUUGUCAACCUGACUGCAUCUGGAAUCAACUAAAGUACAAGGAGUUGGGCACCUUUGUGCGUGUGUUGGGGUGGGGGCUUCUUCACUGGGUCACCUGAGGCUGAAAGACUCUCCUGAAAUCUGAGCUGCACCUGCUGAUGGGAGCCUGCGUAAAGGGUACAAGAUGAAGCUUUUGGUUGGCCUGCUGGUUUCCUCCUGCUAACACACUUGUCUACACAGCUGCUGGGGCACUACUUCCCUGGAAUAUAAACUCUUUCUCUGGGACUCCAAUGCAGACUGAAGCCUGGGGGAGACAUCAGCCUUCUUAACUGGACAGCUACUGGAUUCUUGGCCUUUCUGUCAGGAGACAGCCAUUCUAAUAAAUGCCCUUCUAAUAUACAUAGACUCAUUUCAUCAGUUAUGUUCCUCUAGAGAAUUCAGACUAAUGCACCUGGGGUUUCAGUACAUAGCCCAGGGUGGACUUGAACUUCCUGGGUUCUUCCUUCCUCAGCCUCCCAAGGAGGAUCUGAUCACAAAUUGAGUACUAAAUUACACCUAGCCCAAGACUUGUCUUUCUAUCAAUGUUCUGCCGCUAAGCCAUACCACAUAGAGUAACAUCAUUGGAAGACUGGGAAGACAUUGUUUAUGGCUUCACACUUAAAACCAGGCCGAGUGUUAUGGACUCUCUAACGCCCAUCGUUCAGGAGGCCGAUGUGAAGGAUGUUAAAUUCAAGGCCAGCCAGGGCACUGUGGGCAAACUCUCUGAGGAGUAACUAGAAGGCUGCAAGUACAGCUCAGUGGUAGAUGGGUUGUUCCCCACACUACUAAACAAAAAAAUCAUGUUUUCAUUUUAUUCAUGUAUCUAUUUUAUGUUCCAAGUUCAACACCAACAUACACAAUCGCAUAGAUUAUCUUCCCAGUGUUCCCUGGGAAUAGACGGGACAGGUACAAGGCACACGAGUGCUUUCUUUUACAGCAAAGGAAGGGAAGCUCAGCAAGAAUUAUCAUUAGGGGAGAAAAGUAUAGAUCUACUUAAAUCUUUUUUUUUGUUUUGUUUUGUUUUUUUUUUUUUUUUUUUUUUUUUCGGAGCUGGGGACCGAACCCAGGGCCUUGCGCUUCCUAGGCAAGCGCUCUACCACUGAGCUAAAUCCCCAACCCCGAUCUACUUAAAUCUUGUUGAAAAGAUAAGGUAACAGUAAGGUACUCAGACAACUAAAGGUUUUGAGGAUGUUAGUCCCAUCUAGGACUUUAGCCCAGAAGCAUGCAAAUGAUCCAGUAAAUUCAGUUCAAAACAUCAGCAAUUAAACCUAUUAAGUACAAGUAGCAGAGAAAUCCACAAGGCCAUGCUCUCCUCUCAUCACAUAUUGUUGUUGGUAAGGCAUCUGGGUAAUGACCUCUUCCAUGGCCAUCCCUCCACCGGACAAGAAGCCCCGUGAAACACUCACUGCUAUGCACCCCGCACUCCUGCUGCCUGAGGAGAGACCCACACCACACAGAAGCAGCUGUAACACGGCAGUAAUUCAGUGUAAGACUCAGGUGACGCCUGGCGUCAUAGCCAUGCCGUCAAUCCCAGAACUUAGGAGGCAGGGUCAAGUGGACCUCUAAGUUCAAGACUAGGCCGUUCAACAUACUGUGCUCCAGAUCAACUAGGAAGACGAAGUGAGACCCUGCCUAAAACAUAAUAAGGCUCAUAUUAAAAGCUUACAAAUUCUCAUGUGUGUUUUAA